UGGAAUGCGCGAUGCUAUACAUGCAAGUCGAGCGAACAGAAAAGGAGCUUGCUCCUUUGACGUUAGCGGCGGACGGGUGAGUAACACGUGGGCAACCUACCCUAUAGUUUGGGAUAACUCCGGGAAACCGGGGCUAAUACCGAAUAAUCUCUUUUGCUUCAUGGUGAAAGACUGAAAGACGGUUUCGGCUGUCGCUAUAGGAUGGGCCCGCGGCGCAUUAGCUAGUUGGUGAGGUAACGGCUCACCAAGGCGACGAUGCGUAGCCGACCUGAGAGGGUGAUCGGCCACACUGGGACUGAGACACGGCCCAGACUCCUACGGGAGGCAGCAGUAGGGAAUCUUCCACAAUGGGCGAAAGCCUGAUGGAGCAACGCCGCGUGAGUGAAGAAGGUUUUCGGAUCGUAAAACUCUGUUGUAAGGGAAGAACAAGUACAGUAGUAACUGGCUGUACCUUGACGGUACCUUAUUAGAAAGCCACGGCUAACUACGUGCCACAA
rnacentral:rRNA from 1 species